GCAAGUUGACUGACAGGAGUUCCAAAGAGGCGGGAUUCCACUGCUCACAGUUUGUUGAUUUGGACCAACAGUUACUAGAAGGAACUUCUAUUCAUCAAAAGACAACAUUAAGAAAUUAUGAAGGCAAGUUUCAGCCCAGAAGAAGAUACAUGCAGCACAUAUAUCUCACAAGAACUCAUAUGUAAAUUAAGUUCUAUAACUUAAAUUAGUUCUAUAACUCUC